UACGUAGGGUGCGAGCGUUGUCCGGAAUUAUUGGGCGUAAAGGGCUCGUAGGCGGUUUGUCGCGUCGGGAGUGAAAACCUCGGGCUUAACUCGGGGCUUGCUUUCGAUACGGGCAGACUAGAGGUAUGCAGGGGAGAACGGAAUUCCUGGUGUAGCGGUGAAAUGCGCAGAUAUCAGGAAGAACACCCGUGGCGAAGGCGGUGCUCUGGGCCGGAACUGACGCUGAGGAGCGAAAGCGUGGGGAGCAAACAGG
rnacentral:rRNA from 1 species